CCUACGGGAGGCAGCAGUGAGGAAUAUUGGUCAAUGGCCGGAAGGCUGAACCAGCCAUGCCGCGUGAAGGUCAGUGCCCUAUGGGCGUUAAACUUCUUUUGUGCGGGAGCAAUAAUGGUCACGUGUGGCCAGACGAGAGUACCGUACGCAUAAGCAUCGGCUAACUCCGUGCCAGCAGCCGCGGUAAUACGGGGGAUGCAAGCGUUAUCCGGAUUUAUUGGGUUUAAAGGGUGCCUAGGCUGUGAGGUAAGUCAGCGGUGAAAUGCCCCCGCUCAACGGGGUGAAGUGCCAUUGAAACUGGCUGGCUGGAAUGCGGAUGCCGUGGGAGGAAUGUGUGGUGUAGCGGUGAAAUGCAUAGAUAUCACACAGAACACCGAUUGCGAAGGCAUCUCACGAAUCCGCGAUUGACGCUGAUGCACGAAAGCGUGGGUAUCAAACAGGAUUAGAUACCCUAGUAGUC
rnacentral:rRNA from 1 species